GAUGAACGCUGGCGGCGUGCCUAAUACAUGCAAGUCGAACGCAUUGUGGUUGAAAUGAUAUGAAGAACUUGUUCAGAUUUGAUUUUCAACAUUGCAAUGAGUGGCGAACGGGUGAGUAACACGUGGGAAACCUACCUCUUAGCAGGGGAUAACAUUUGGAAACAAAUGCUAAUACCGUAUAAUAAUUAAAACCGCAAUGGUUUUAGUUUAAAAGAUGGUCUUGCUAUCACUAAGAGAUGGUCCCGCGGUGUAUUAGUUAGUUGGUGAGGUAAUGGCUCACCAAGACAAUGAUACAUAGCCGAGUUGAGAGACUGACCGGCACAAUGGGACUGAGACACGGCCCAUACUCCUACGGGAGGCAGCAGUAGGGGAAUCUUCCACAAUGGACGAAAGUACUGAUGGAGCAACGCCGCGUGAGUGAAGAAGGUUUCGGAUCGUAAAACUCUGUUGUUGGUAGAAGAAUGUAUCUGAUAGUAACUGAUCAGGUAGUGACGGUAUCCAACCAAG
rnacentral:rRNA from 1 species